AACGUAGGACACGAGCGUUAUCCGGAGUUACUGGGCGUAAAGGGCGUGCAGGCGGCAUGGUAAGUCUGAUGUGAAAGCUCCCGGCUCAACCGGGAGAGGACAUUGGAGACUGCCAAGCUCGAGGCAGAUAGAGGGAUGUAGAAUUCCGGGUGUAGUGGUGAAAUGCGUAGAGAUCCGGAGGAAUACCAGAGGCGAAGGCGGCAUCCUGGGUCUGGCCUGACGCUGAGACGCGACAGCAUGGGGAGCGAACGGG
rnacentral:rRNA from 1 species